GUCUACGGCCACACCACCCUGAACGCACCCGAUCUCGUCCAAUCUGAGAAGCUAAGCAUUGUUGGGCCCGGUUAGGACUUGGAUGGGAGACCCGGCACAUAGUUGGAGCCUCACC
rfam:Ailuropoda melanoleuca scaffold728_70, whole genome shotgun sequence.